rnacentral:rRNA from 1 species
AGACGUCUACAUUAGAUACCCCGUAGUCCCAGCCGUAAACAAUGUGCGUUAGGUGUGUCGGUAACCACGUGUUACUGAUGCGCCGAAGAGAAAUCGUGAAACGCACCACCUGGGAAGUACGGUCGCAAGGCUGAAACUUAAAGGAAUUGGCGGGGGAGCACCACAACAGGUGGAGCCUGCGGUUUAAUUGGAUUCAACGCCGGACAUCUCACCGGAUAAGACAGCUGAAUGAUUGUCAAUCUGAAGGUUUUACAUGACUAGCUG